rnacentral:rRNA from 1 species
UUUUAGAGUUUUGAUCCUGGCUCAGAUUGAACGCUGGCGGCAGGCCUAACACAUGCAAGUCGAGCGGAUGAAGGGAGCUUGCUCCUGGAUUCAGCGGCGGACGGGUGAGUAAUGCCUAGGAAUCUGCCUGGUAGUGGGGGAUACCGUCCGGAAACGGGCGCUAAUCCCGCAUACGUCCUGAGGGAGAAAGUGGGGGAUCUUCGGACCUCACGCUAUCAGAUGAGCCUAGGUCGGAUUAGCUAGUUGGUGGGGUAAAGGCCUACCAAGGCGACGAUCCGUAACUGGUCUGAGAGGAUGAUCAGUCACACUGGAACUGAGACACGGUCCAGACUCCUACGGGAGGCAGCAGUGGGGAAUAUUGGACAAUGGGCGAAAGCCUGAUCCAGCCAUCCCGCGUGUGUGAAGAAGGUCUUCGGAUUGUAAAGCACUUUAAGUUGGGAGGAAGGGCAGUAAGUUAAUACCUUGCUGUUUUGACGUUACCAACAGAAUAAGCACCGGCUAACUUCGUGCCAGCAGCCGCGGUAAUACGAAGGGUGCAAGCGUUAAUCGGAAUUACUGGGCGUAAAGCGCGCGUAGGUGGUUCAGCAAGUUGGAUGUGAAAUCCCCGGGCUCAACCUGGGAACUGCAUCCAAAACUACUGAGCUAGAGUACGGUAGAGGGGGUCGGC